AAUAACACACUUUUUAAUUCACCUUCUGCUUUCGGCUGCUCCCGUUAGGGGGCGCCAUAGCAGAUCAACCGUUUCCUCUCACCCUGUCUUCUGUGUCUU